rnacentral:tRNA from 1 species
GCGCCUGUAGCUCAGCUGGAUAGAGCGACGGACUUCUAAUCCGUAGGUCGCAGGUUCGAGUCCUGCCAGGCGCA